AGUGAACGCUGGCGGUAGGCCUAACACAUGCAAGUCGAACGGCAGCACAGUAAGAGCUUGCUCUUACGGGUGGCGAGUGGCGGACGGGUGAGGAAUACAUCGGAAUCUACUUUUUCGUGGGGGAUAACGUAGGGAAACUUACGCUAAUACCGCAUACGACCUACGGGUGAAAGCAGGGGAUCUUCGGACCUUGCGCGAUUGAAUGAGCCGAUGUCGGAUUAGCUAGUUGGCGGGGUAAAGGCCCACCAAGGCGACGAUCCGUAGCUGGUCUGAGAGGAGGAUCGGCCACCCGGGAACUGGGACACGGUCCAGACUCCUACGGGAGGCAGCAGUGGGGAAUGUUAGGCAAUGGGGGCGAGCCUGAUCCAGCCAUACCGCGUGGGUGAAGAAGGCCUUCGGGUUGUAAAGCCCUUUUGUUGGGAAAGAAAAGCAGCAGGUUAAUACCCCGCUGUUCUGACGGUACCCAAAGAAUAAGCACCGGCUAACUUCGUG
rnacentral:rRNA from 1 species